CUGCAGCGUGCGGCAAUGAUUCGUUCUCCAGCCUGUACAAGAACACCAUGAACAUGAGGAAGACCUCCAGGCGUCUACCGUGGUGAUGCAUCAGGACAGGGAAAGACACAGAAGUUUGAUGUGAACAGCUCUAAGGAAGCAUGAUAGGUCUCAAAGCAUUGUGAUGUCUGUCUAUUCUGCUACUGUCACUUGUGAUGUCGGUCUAUUCUGCUAAACAGAACGCGGUGAUCGAGUCGCUCUUGAACGUGGAGAAACAUUUAACUGCUUGAGGUUAUUUUCUCGUGGUCUCCAUUUAACUGCUUCAGAUUCUUGAAUGGCUUGGAACACAACAUUGGUGGGACUUUAGUGAGAUGUACUUUUUGAUGCUUGUCACGGCUCACGGAAAAUAGGGAGAUUUGAGCAAGGUGGAAAGUGUACUGGUGCACAUGAGCAAGAAAGGUUACCAGCCAACUGUGGCAUCUUAGACUCGUCUGAUGGAAGCAUAAGGAAGAACCAAGCAGUACCAAAUGCCAAUGAUGUAUUUCAUAAGAUGCAGACAUCAGGCCAUGAAUCAUUGCCAAGAACAUAUCAAAUAAUUUUGAAAUCACUUGUCGAGUCAGGACUAACUAUUUGCUUAGUGACAUUUACUUUGGAUGAUUAUGUGUUUUUUAAUGUGCUUGCCAUGAACGAAGAUAGGUCUUCAUCGGAUGAUUAUGUGUUUUUUUUAAUUUAUGCUAUUUCUCGGAACCUUUUUCAAGAUUAUGUACCC